AACGAACGCUGGCGGCAUGCCUAACACAUGCAAGUCGAACGAGACCUCCGGGUCUUGUGGCGCACGGGUGCGUACCACGUGGGAACUUGCCCGUAGGUUCGGAAUAACUCACCGAAAGGGGUCCUAAUACCGGUUAAUGUCUUCGGACCAAAGAUUUUUCGCCUUUGGAUGGGCCCGGGUUGGAUUAGCCAGUUGGUAGUGUAAAAGCCUACCAAGGCGAGGAUGCAUAGCUGGUCUGAGAGGAGGAUUAGCCACACUGGGGAUGAGACACGGCCCAGACUGCGACGGGAGGCAGCAGUGGGGAAUAUAGGACACGGGGCGAAGGUCUAGUACAGCAGUGCCGCGUAAGUGAUGAAUGCCUUAGUGUUGUAAAGCUGUUUUACACGGGGUGAUAAUGACAGUACCGGGAGAAUAAGCUCCGGCUAACUCCGUG
rnacentral:rRNA from 1 species